GACGAACGCUGGCGGCGUGCUUAACACAUGCAAGUCGAACGAUGAAGCCCAGCUUGCUGGGUGGAUUAGUGGCGAACGGGUGAGUAACACGUGAGCAACGUGCCCGAAACUCUGGAAUAACUACCGGAAACGGUGGCUAAUACUUGAUAUGUGCCAGGGAGGCAUCUCCUCUGGUUGGAAAGAUUUUUCGGUUUCGGAUCGGCUCACGGCCUAUCAGCUUGUUGGUGGGGUAAUGGCCUACCAAGGCGACGACGGGUAGCCGGCCUGAGAGGGUGACCGGCCACACGGGGACUGAGACACGGCCCAGACUCCUACGGGAGGCAGCAGUGGGGAAUAUUGCACAAUGGGCGCAAGCCUGAUGCAGCAACGCCGCGUGAGGGAUGACGGCCUUCGGGUUGUAAACCUCUUUUAGUAGGGAAGAAGCGCAAGUGACGGUACCUGCAGAAAAAGCACCGGCUAACUACGUG
rnacentral:rRNA from 1 species